GCGGCCGUGGCGGAAUUGGCAGACGCGCAAGAUUUAGGUUCUUGUAUCUUUCCGAUGUAUGGGUUCAAGUCCCAUCGGCCGUA
rnacentral:tRNA from 2 species